rnacentral:tRNA from 1 species
GUAGCUGGACAUAGCCGGUGUGUCAGACUUAAAAUCCUGUGAUCCGUAAGGAUCGUGCGGGUUCGACCCCCGCUCCGGCUACU